rnacentral:rRNA from 1 species
GAUGAACGCUGGCGGCGUGCCUAAUACAUGCAAGUCGAGCGAACGGACGAGAAGCUCGCUUCUCUGAUGUUAGCGGCGGACGUGUGAGUAACACGUGGAUAACCUACCUAUAAGACUGGGAUAACUUCGGGAAACCGGAGCUAAUACCGGAUGAUAUUUUGAACCGCAGUGUUCAAAAGUGAAAGACGGUCUUGCUGUCACUUAUAGAUGCAUCCGCGCUGCAUUAGAUAGUUGGUAAGGUAACGGCUUACCACGGCGACGAUGCGUAGCCGACCUGAGAGGCUGAUAGCCCACCUUAGAAGUGAGACACGGUAAAUGCGCCUACGAGAGGCACCAGUAGGGAACCUUACGCAAUAGUCGAAAGCAUGACGCAGCGAGGCCGCGUGAGUGACGAAGAUCUUCGGAGCGUAAAACUCGGUUAUUAGGGAAGAACCUAUGUGUAAGUAAACGAGGAGAUCUUGACGGUAACUAAUCAGAAAGCCACGGCUAACUACGUG